GACUUGGAUCUGCCUCAGAUGAGUUCUGAUUAUCAGCAACUGGAUAGACCGAUAAGAAGACGAGAGCCAGAGACACAUUACCAGGAAUUGAGACCACAUACAAGUGAUGAAUACCAGGAAAUAAGAACUAAAGGAACCAAA